AAAAGAACUCUGAAGAGAGGGUGCAAAGGCGCGUGAAACCGCCCAGGGGUAAACUGGCUGAGCCGAGCGACGUGUCCUGCCGGGGCGGCGGGUCGCCCUCGGUCUCGAUCGGGGGGGAAUUUUUAUCGGUUUCCCUCCGGUAAAGGCCGGGGCGCGUGUCCAACCCCGGCAGGUCUCCGCCGUCACCGGCACCGGGUCGUCUCGUGGUCGCGUCUUCCUCGGGUCGUCGGCUCGAGGGGUGUGGACGCGAAGUCGCGCGAGAGCGGCCGCGGGUGCCGUGGUCGACCGCGGGUUCUGAGGGGCGGUCGUCUCCGGCGUCGCUUUUCGCGAGCGGCGCUAGGGGCGAUCCCCGGCCCGCCGGAAGGUGUACGGCGUUAUUUCCGGUACCUGCCCGACCCGUCUUGAAACACGGACCAAGGAGUCUGGCGCCUGUGCGAGCCGCAGGGUUUCCACUAAACCCCACGGCGCAGUGAAAGCGAGAGGCCUUUUUCGGCCGAGGGCGAGAUCUCUUUUUCAGGGAGGGGGUUAACAGCCCCCUUCCGGGGAGCGCAUCGCCGGCCCGUCAGCCGCCGCGUCGACGGCCCUGUCGGAGCAUGAGCGCAGGCGUCGGGACCCGAUAGAUGGUGAUCUACGCCUGAGCAGAGCGAAGCCGGGGGAAACUCUGGUGGAGGCUCGAAGCGACUCUGACGUGCAAAUCGACCGCCCGACUUGGGCGUAGGGGCGAAAGACCAAUCGAACCAUCUAGUAGCUGGUUCCCUCCGAAGUUUCCCUCAGGAUAGCCGGCGCCGACGAAACGAUUUUCACUCGGUAAAGCGAAUGGUUGGAGGCGUCGGGGGCGAAACGCCCUCGUCCUACUCUCAAACUUUCAACGGGUGAGGCUCCAGACCCGCCUCGCACGGGGACUGGCCUCGAAUCACGGGUGCCGAGUGGGCCAUUUUUGGUAAGCAGAACUGGCGCUGCGGGAUGAACCGAACGCUCGGUUGUGGUGCCCAACGCAGGACGCUCACGGGAAAGCUAAAAGGUGUGGGUCGGUACUGACAGCAGGGCGGUGGCCACGGAAGUUGGAAUCCGCCAAGGAGUGUGUAACAACUCACCUGCCGAACCGACCCG
rnacentral:rRNA from 1 species